rnacentral:rRNA from 1 species
UGGGGAAUAUUGCGCAAUGGGGGGAACCCUGACGCAGCCAUGCCGCGUGAAUGAAGAAGGCCUUCGGGUUGUAAAGUUCUUUCGGUAUUGAGGAAGGUUGAUGUGUUAAUAGCACAUCAAAUUGACGUUAAAUACAGAAGAAGCACCGGCUAACUCCGUGCCAGCAGCCGCGGUAAUACGGAGGGUGCGAGCGUUAAUCGGAAUAACUGGGCGUAAAGGGCACGCAGGCGGUUAUUUAAGUGAGGUGUGAAAGCCCCGGGCUUAACCUGGGAAUUGCAUUUCAGACUGGGUAACUAGAGUACUUUAGGGAGGGGUAGAAUUCCACGUGUAGCGGUGAAAUGCGUAGAGAUGUGGAGGAAUACCGAAGGCGAAGGCAGUCCCUUGGGAAUGUACUGACGCUCAUGUGCGAAAGCGUGGGGAGCAAACAGGAUUAGAUACCCUGGUAGUCCACGCUGUAAACGCUGUCGAUUUGGGGGUUGGGGUUUAACUCUGGCGCCCGUAGCUAACGUGAUAAAUCGACCGCCUGGGGAGUACGGCCGCAAGGUUA